GAUGAAGAACGCAGCGAAAUGCGAUACGUAAUGUGAAUUGCAGAAUUCAGUGAAUCAUCGAGUCUUUGAACGCACAUUGCGCCCCCUGGAAUUCCGGGGGGCAUGCCUGUUCGAGCGUCUCAGGGACGAACCCUCGCGCGGGUGUACGCGCGGUCGUGGCUGCGGUGGCGUGCCCGAGGCGGCGGCCACCGCGCUGGAAUCCAUGGGCGGACGCCUGCCGCGUGGCCGAGCGUGAUAUGACGCAUUGGCGCUCGCACGCGGAGAGGCUGCCAGCCCUGGCCCGUCUGUCGGGCGGGGGAGAGCAAGACACGUGAACUCCUCGAAUCAGGUAGGGAUACCCGCUGAACUUAAGCAUAUCAAUAAGCGGAGGA
rnacentral:misc_RNA from 1 species